CCCCUUCAGAGUAUCAACAGAAUCAAGAAUGCCGUUGGCAGCUUGACGCAACACAAAUGUAUAGCCAGAACAAAACCAUAAAACUGCGAUUUAUGGUUGACAUAGAAGAUUCUGAUGACUGUGAAAUAGAAUCUGUCACAGUCUUUGCUUUCACAUCAACCAGAAAUACCAAA